ACUUGUGGUUACGUCAGCUUUGC
rnacentral:miRNA from 8 species